rnacentral:rRNA from 3 species
UCAGGAUGAACGCUGGCGGCGUGCCUAAUACAUGCAAGUCGAGCGAACUUUUGGGAGCUUGCUCCCAAAAGUUAGCGGCGGACGGGUGAGUAACACGUGGGCAACCUGCCUAUAAGACUGGGAUAACUUCGGGAAACCGGAGCUAAUACCGGAUAACAUAUGAGACCACAUGGUCUCAUAUUAAAAGAUGGCUUUUAGCUAUCACUUAUAGAUGGGCCCGCGGCGCAUUAGCUAGUUGGUGAGGUAAUGGCUCACCAAGGCGACGAUGCGUAGCCGACCUGAGAGGGUGAUCGGCCACACUGGGACUGAGACACGGCCCAGACUCCUACGGGAGGCAGCAGUAGGGAAUCUUCCGCAAUGGACGAAAGUCUGACGGAGCAACGCCGCGUGAGCGAAGAAGGUCUUCGGAUCGUAAAGCUCUGUUGUUAGGGAAGAACAAGUACCGUUCAAAUAGGGCGGUACCUUGACGGUACCUAACCAGAAAGCCACGGCUAACUACGUGCCAGCAGCCGCGGUAAUACGUAGGUGGCAAGCGUUAUCCGGAAUUAUUGGGCGUAAAGCGCGCGCAGGCGGUCCUUUAAGUCUGAUGUGAAAGCCCACGGCUCAACCGUGGAGGGUCAUUGGAAACUGGGGGACUUGAGUGCAGAAGAGGAGAGCGGAAUUCCACGUGUAGCGGUGAAAUGCGUAGAGAUGUGGAGGAACACCAGUGGCGAAGGCGGCUCUCUGGUCUGUAACUGACGCUGAGGCGCGAAAGCGUGGGGAGCGAACAGGAUUAGAUACCCUGGUAGUCCACGCCGUAAACGAUGAGUGCUAAGUGUUAGAGGGUUUCCGCCCUUUAGUGCUGCAGCAAACGCAUUAAGCACUCCGCCUGGGGAGUACGGUCGCAAGACUGAAACUCAAAGGAAUUGACGGGGGCCCGCACAAGCGGUGGAGCAUGUGGUUUAAUUCGAAGCAACGCGAAGAACCUUACCAGGUCUUGACAUCCCGUGACAACUCUAGAGAUAGAGCUUUCCCCUUCGGGGGACACGGUGACAGGUGGUGCAUGGUUGUCGUCAGCUCGUGUCGUGAGAUGUUGGGUUAAGUCCCGCAACGAGCGCAACCCUUGAUCUUAGUUGCCAGCAUUAAGUUGGGCACUCUAAGGUGACUGCCGGUGACAAACCGGAGGAAGGUGGGGAUGACGUCAAAUCAUCAUGCCCCUUAUGACCUGGGCUACACACGUGCUACAAUGGAUGGUACAAAGGGCAGCGAAACCGCGAGGUUAAGCCAAUCCCAUAAAACCAUUCUCAGUUCGGAUUGCAGGCUGCAACUCGCCUGCAUGAAGCCGGAAUCGCUAGUAAUCGCGGAUCAGCAUGCCGCGGUGAAUACGUUCCCGGGCCUUGUACACACCGCCCGUCACACCACGAGAGUUUGUAACACCCGAAGUCGGUGGGGUAACCGUAAGGAGCCAGCCGCCUAAGGUGGGACAGAUGAUUGGGGUGAAG